GCCAAAAAGCUCCGCCGCCUAUGCAUAACACUUACCACCACACCCAAACCCAAACCCAAACCCAAACCCGCGCCAAAUCCUUCAGGCCACCGGUAGCACUUCUCUCGAUAGCCUUCUCUAUCGCUCUCAAUCGAAUCGGUUGUUGCGAGGAGAUUUUCCGCGUCUUCCGUUGCCGACUUCAUCCUCGUCUUCUGCCGCCGCGCCGUAUUCGACUUCCUCAGUCCUUAACUGAGUAAAAAGAAAGAAGGAUGGGAGAAAGGAAGGUUUUGAACAAGUACUAUCCGCCGGAUUUUGAUCCGGCGAAGAUUCCACGACGGAGGCAACCGCAAAAUCAGCAGAUGAAAGUACGCAUGAUGCUUCCAAUGAGCAUUCGCUGCAAUACUUGUGGCAAUUACAUAUAUAAGGGUACAAAAUUCAAUUCCCGCAAAGAAGAUGCAGUUGGUGAGACCUAUUUGGGUAUCCAAAUUUACAGGUUCUAUUUUAAGUGCCCAAGAUGUUCAGCUGAGAUUGCCUAUAAGACAGAUCCACAGAACUCUGAUUAUACGGUUGAGUCUGGUGCGACAAGAAAUUUUGAGCCUUGGCGUGCGGAGGAUGAGGUAUUGGAGGAAGAGAAGAACAAACGGCUGGCUGAAGAGAUGGGGGAUGCUAUGAAAUCCUUGGAGAAUAGAACAUUGGACUCAAAGAGGGAAAUGGAUAUCCUCGCUGCGUUGGAUGAAAUGAAAUCCAUGAAGUCCAGACAUGCAACCGUGAGUGUAGAUGCAAUGCUGGAAGCUCUGCAACGUUCAAAUGAAAAUAAGGAAAAGAAGUUGGUGGAAGAAGAUGAAGCACUUAUAAAAUCAAUCUUUAAGGGCCAAAAAGAUACUGCAGUCAUCAAAAGGAUUGAUGACAAUAGUAUAGAUGGCGAUGAUGAUGAUGAUUGGAAUUUCGUUUCGCCUGUCAAUGAGGGUACAUCAACUGGUCCCUCUAAGAAGAGGAAGGUGUCUGAAGAAAAACCCUCCAAUCCAACGGAUAUUUUUACAAAAUCCAGUGUCAUUGAUGACUCCAGUAAUCGAGGUGGGGAUUCCGACAGUAGUAAAUUUAUUUUCAAGUCAUCAUCCGUCAGAAUUUCUGUAGUGAAGAAAGCAGAACCAUUAGAGAGUGAAAAACCGAUCGACAGUGGAUUACAAUCGCUUGGGGAGCUCUAUGCAUCGUCCGAGGAAGAUGAUUGAAUAGGGAGGUGAGUCAAGAUCAUCCCAAGGGAUGUGGUGUAAAAUUGAUUUAAGAUUUUGAAAGGGCCAAAUUGCAAAGAUUCGGGCACUCCUUGCACUUCUCUCACCAUAUUUCUUAUCUUACUUGUUGAAGAUGACAUGAAUUUAGGUUGUGUGUAGUUUCAGUGUUCUAGGAAUAGUGGUGGGGUGUGUUUGGCUGGUUGGUGAUAUAUAUUGAAUUUUGGUUUUUGGUUGAAUAGUGAUUUGCACGUGAUAUUUUGUAAAAGAGUAUUGGAUUUUUAUAUAGAAUUGUAAAAAU